GGAUUAGGCAUGAAGUCGAACGAGGAUAUAUCCUUCGGGAUAUAAGCCGAGUGGCGCAAGGGUGAGUAAUGCAUAGAUUACCUGCCUCUAGGAUAAGGACAACUUUGUGAAAACGAAGCUAAUACUUAAUAAUGCAAAAGAAAAUAAUUUUCUUUUGUCAAUGGGAGGGUAGCAAUACCUUUUGCCUAGAGAGGGGUUUAUGUCCUAUCAGCUUGUUGGUGGGGUAAUGGCCUACCAAGGCGAAGACGGGUAGCCGGUCUUAGAGGAUGGUCGGCCACACUGGGACUGAGACACUGCCCAGACUUCUACGGAAGGCUGCAGUCGAGAAUCUUUCGCAAUGCCCGAAAGGGUGACGAAGCGACGCCGCGUGAGUGAGGAAGGCCUUAGGGUUGUAAAGCUCUGUCAGGAGUUAAGAAAUAUAAGUGUGUUAAUACCACGUUUAUUUGACGAAGGCUCCAAAGGAAGCCACGGCUAACUCUGUGCCAGCAGCCGCGGUAAUACAGAGGUGGCAAGCGUUGUUCGGAAUUAUUGGGCGUAAAGAGCACGUAGGUGGGUUUGUAAGUCAGAUGUGAAAGCCUUCUGUUCAACGGAAGAAUUGCAUCUGAAACUGCAAGUCUUGAGUGUAGGAGGGGAGAAUGGAACUUCUGGUGGAGCGGUGAAAUGCGUAGAUAUCAGAAGGAACGCCGGCGGCGAAAGCGAUUCUCUGGCCUAUUACUGACGCUCAGUGUGCGAAAGCUAGGGGAGCAAACGGGAUUAGAUACCCCGGUAGUCCUAGCCGUAAACGAUGGGCACUAAGUAGAGGGAAUUACCGAUGUUCUCUCUGCCGUAGCUAACGCAUUAAGUGCCCCGCCUGGGGAGUACGGCCGCAAGGCUAAAACUCAAAAGAAUUGACGGGGGCUCGCACAAGCGGUGGAGCAUGUGGCUUAAUUCGAUGCAACGCGAAAAACCUUACCGGGGCUUGACAUGGUAGAAGUAGGAACCCGAAAGGGUAACGAACGGUAUCCAGUCCAUAGCUAUCACAGGUGUUGCAUGGCUGUCGUCAGCUCGUGUCGUGAGACGUUGGGUUAAGUCCCCUAACGAGCGAAACCCUUGUUUUUAGUUACCAGCGGGUUAUGCCGGGUACUCUAGAAAGACUGCCGUCGUCAAGACGGAGGAAGGUGGGGAUGACGUCAAGUCAUCAUGGCCCUUAUGCCCCGGGCUGCACACGUGCUACAAUGGUCGGUACAAACGGAAGCGAAGCCGAGAGGUGAAGCGAAUCCUAAAAAGCCGAUCUCAGUUCGGAUUGGAGGCUGAAAUUCGCCUCCAUGAAGUUGGAAUCGCUAGUAAUCGCGGAUCAGCAAUGCCGCGGUGAAUAUGUUCCCGAGCCUUGUACACACCGCCCGU
rnacentral:rRNA from 1 species